CUUGGAGAGUGAAUGAAGCCAAAAAACCCAUGCCAGACGAUCAACCAGCUCAAAGUUUCCCAGGCUAGGCUACUUGGAGGUCUCUCCAGAUGUCAGAGUGCUGCCCUGACUACUACAGAUGCUGCAGUUCCCAUCCACUCAAAGCACUGUGCUCAGUCCUCAGAGAUGGAAGGCUAACUGUGGCUCAUCGGGGUCCAGGAGGAUUUCUGACCUGCUCCAGAUGCUUGGCUUGGAGACUGAAUCCUAGGAAAUUCCAGCUCCUGGGCACCACCCAGGCAGGAAUACAAGGGACCCCACCCAAACUCUGACUAAGCCACCUUGGGGAAGUGGCUGUGGAUGUGCAUGCUGACCUCAUA
rnacentral:lncRNA from 1 species